AUAAAGUAGCGAAGUCCGUGAGCCAUGCGUCAAGAAAAGCCGCUAUCGUUCAUACCGUACCCGUACCGUAAACCGACACAGGUGGAUGAGGAGAGAAUCCUAAGGCCGGCGGAAGAAGCAUUGUCAAGGAACUCGGCAAAAUGGCCCCGUAACUUAGGGAUAAGGGGUGCCUGGGAAACCAGCCCGCAGAGAAUAGGCUCAAGCAACUGUUUAGCAAAAACACAGGUCUAUGCGAAACCGAAAGGUGAGGUAUAUGGGCUGACGCCUGCCCGGUGCUGGAAGGUUAAGAGGAGAGGUUAGCGCAAGCGAAGCUUUGAAUUUAAGCCCCAGUAAACGGCGGCCGUAACAAUAACGGUCCUAAGGUAGCGAAAUUCCUUGUCGGGUAAGUUCCGACCCGCACGAAAGGCGUAAUGAUUUGAGCGCUGUCUCGACAAUGCAUCCGGUGAAAUUGAAGUACCAGUGAAGAUGCUGGUUACCUGCGCCAGGACGGAAAGACCCCAUGGAGCUUUACUCCAGUCUGGUACUGGGACUCGGUAUUGCAUGUACAGGAUAGGUGGGAGGCUAGGAGAUGGUAACGCCAGUUGCCAUGGAGCCGCUGUUGGGAUACCACCCUUGCAGUAUUGGGUUUCUAACCAGCCGCCGUGACCCGGCGGUGGGACAAUGCCAGACGGGGAGUUUGACUGGGGCGGUCGCCUCCGAAAGGGUAUCGGAGGCGCCCAAAGGUUCCCUCAGAAUGGACGGAAACCAUUCGAAGAGUGCAAAGGCAGAAGGGAGCUUGACUGCGACAUCGACGGGUGGAGCAGGUACGAAAGUAGGGCUUAGUGAUCCGGUGGUAUUAAGUGGGAAUGCCAUCGCUCAACGGAUAAAAGCUACCCUGGGAUAACAGGCUUAUCACUCCCAAGAGUUCACAUCGACGGAGUGGUUUGGCACCUGAUGUCGGCUCAUCGCAUCCUGGGGCUGUAGUAGGUCCCAAGGGUUGGGCUGUUCGCCCAUUAAAGCGGUACGCGAGCUGGGUUCAGAACGUCGUGAGACAGUUCGGUCCCUAUCCGGCGUGGGCGUAGGAUAUCUGAGAGGAGCUGUCCUUAGUACGAGAGGACCGGGAUGGACGGGCCGCUGGUGCAUCGGUUAGACUGCCAAGUCUACGGCCGAGUAGCCAAGCCCGGAAGGGAUAAACGCUGAAGGCAUCUAAGCGUGAAGCCCCCCUUAAGAUGAGAUAUCCCAUUCGAAAGAAGUAAACCCCCUUGAAGACGACGAGGUAGAUAGGGCAGAGGUGGAAGUGCAGCAAUGCAUGGAGCUGACUGUUACUAAUCGGGUGAGGGCUUGACCG
rnacentral:rRNA from 1 species